UAUCAACACCAGAAGUUUAAAAAAUUUAGUAGUUAACUAAUAGUUUUAUUUUAAAUAACUACAAAAUUGUUAUUUCAAUUCAGUUGGGAAAUGCCUUAGUCAUAUGUUCUUUUUAUUUACAGGAAUUUGCAUUGUCAUGUUUCAGAAUACCAUCCCAAAGACUCGCAAAUAAGAUAUUCACUGUUUAAUGGUGCAAGAAUUGUGUUAUUCAAAAUUUCAAUGAUACAUUUACCUCAAGGAAAUAAUUCAUCAGAGAGAUGUUCCUUAGCAAUUAAAUAGCUUAAGAAAAACAUGCAUCAUAUCCAUGGGCCAAUACCAUGGAACUUGUAUUUUUAAUUUGUAUUGUGGAAAUUGGAUAAUUGUCACUUUAUUCUGUAGGUAGCUAUUUUCAUUAGGCAAUAAAAUAUUUGGGGAAAAAGUAUACUGUGAAGAUAUUGUAUAUAGGUUUCCAGACCACAAUAAAGUGAAUAUUGAAAUAAGAGGUGACACAAAUUUUUUCCCAGUACAUAUAAAAAUUAUGUUUAUAUAAAAUGUAGUUUAUUAACUGUGUCAUAGCAUAUAUCUUGAAAGCUUUUUUAAUUAAAAAAACAUAUUAUGGCUAAAAAUGUUAAUGAUCAUCUGAGCCUUCAGUGAUUUGUAAUCUUUUUGUCAUUGGAAGGUAUUACCUUGAUGUUGAUGGCAACUCGCUGAUAAGGGUAGUUGCUAAAGACUAGAGUAACAGUGGUCAUUUCAUAAAUUCAGGGAAAGUAACAUUUCUUGCAUUGAUUGAUUCUUCCUUUCAAAAAAGAUUUCUCUGUAUUAUGCAAUGCUGUUUGAUAGUGUUUUAACCAAAACAGGACUUCUUUCAAAAUCAGUCCAUCUUCUCAAACUCUUCUACUGCUUUAUCAACUAAAUACAUGUAAUAUUCUAAGUCCUUUGUUGUCAUUUUAAAGAUGUUUGCAGUACCUUCACCAAGAGUAUUUUCCAUCUCAAGAAACUACUUUCUUUUUCAUCCAUAAGAAACACCUCAUCAUCUGUUUAAGUGUUACAUAAGAGUGCAGCAAUUUCAUCACAUCUUCCUGCUCUACUUCUAAUUCUAGUUCCCUUGCUAUUUCUAACACAUCUGCAGUUACUUCCUCCAUUGACAUUUUGAACGGCUCAAUGCCAUCCAUGAAGUUGGAAUAAAGUUUUUUCUAAAUUCUGUUGCUAUUGACAUUUUGACCUCUUCCUACUCAUCAAUGUUCUUAAUGGCAUCUAGAAUGGUGAGUCCAUUCCAGAA
rnacentral:lncRNA from 1 species